GAAUCUUGCACAAUGGGCGAAAGCCUGAUGCAGCGACGCCGCGUGAGGGAUGAAGGCUUUCGGGUCGUAAACCUCUUUUCUCAGGGAAUAGCAAGGACGGUACCUGAGGAAUAAGCCACGGCUAACUACGUGCCAGCAGCCGCGGUAAUACGUAGGUGGCAAGCGUUGUCCGGAUUCACUGGGCGUAAAGGGUCCGUAGGCGGUUCAGCAAGUCUCUUGUGAAAACUUCGGGCUUAACCCGGAGGCGUCGGGGGAUACUGCUGGACUAGAGACUGUCAGAGGAAGGUGGAAUUCCCGGUGUAGUGGUGAAAUGCGUAGAUAUCGGGAGGAACACCAGUGGCGAAGGCGGCCUUCUGGGGCAGUUCUGACGCUGAGUGACGAAAGCGUGGGGAGCAAACCGG
rnacentral:rRNA from 1 species